AGAGAGAGACAUGCGCGCAUAUCAAUAAGCGGAGGAAAAGAAACUAACUAGGAUUCCCUCAGUAACGGCGAGUGAAGCGGGAAGAGCUCAAAUUUGAAAUCUUCAAGGUUCUACCUUGACGAAUUGUAGUUUAAAGAAGUGUUUUCUGUUGGAGUUUUGGUAAAAGUUCUUUGGAAUAGGACAUCAUAGAGGGUGAGAAUCCCGUAUUUGACCUUUACUUUCAACUUUGUGAUACACUUUCAAAGAGUCGGAUUGUUUGGGAAUGCAGUCCAAAAUGGGUGGUAAAUUUCAUCUAAAGCUAAAUAUUGGCAAGAGACCGAUAGCGAACAAGUACCGUGAGGGAAAGAUGAAAAGAACUUUGAAAAGAGAGUUAAACAGUACGUGAAAUUGUCAAAAGGGAAGCGUUUGACACCAGUGUUGUUUUCUCGAAAAUCAAUUAAAAAAGGCAGGAUUUUGUGUUGUAUUGACUUUAUCAGCUUUCUGCACUCUUUUCUUGUCUUUUUUAAUGCACUUUUCGUUUAACAAGUCAACAUCAAUUUCUUUUGUUGUAAAAGGGUCAUUGGAAGGUGGCUUUCUUUUCGGAGAAAGUGUUAUAGCCUUUGGCCUCUGCAAUCGGAGAGAUUGAGGUCUGCAGCGUAGAUCCUUCGGGGUUAGAUACAUUUGUGCUAAGUUAUAGCCUUUCAUAGACAACUUGUUGACUAUGAUCAGUCAUGUAGCUUACUCGCUUAUGCUAUUUUACCUACGCUUAGGAUGUUGAUGUGAUACUGCGAGCA
rnacentral:rRNA from 1 species